rnacentral:rRNA from 1 species
GAUCCUGGCUCAGAAUCAACGCUGGCGGCGUGCCUAACACAUGCAAGUCGCACGAGAAAGCGGGCUUCGGCCUGCAAGUAAAGUGGCGCACGGGUGAGUAACACGUGAAUGAUCUACCUCCGAGUGGGGAAUAACCUAGAGAAAUCUGGGCUAAUACCGCAUAACACUUACGAGUCAAAGCAGCAAUGCGCUUGGAGAGGAGUUCGCGGCAGAUUAGUUAGUUGGCAGGGUAAUGGCCUACCAAGACGAUGAUCUGUAUCCGGCCUGAGAGGGCGCACGGACACACUGGAACUGAAACACGGUCCAGACUCCUACGGGAGGCAGCAGUGGGGAAUUUUGCGCAAUGGGGGAAACCCUGACGCAGCAACGCCGCGUGGAGGAUGAAAUCCCUUGGGACGUAAACUCCUUUCGAUCGGGACGAUUAUGACGGUACCGGAAGAAGAAGCCCCGGCUAACUUCGUGCCAGCAGCCGCGGUAAUACGAGGGGGGCAAGCGUUGUUCGGAAUUAUUGGGCGUAAAGGGCGCGUAGGCGGUUUGACAAGUCUGAUGUGAAAUCUCUGGGCUCAACCCAGAGUCUGCAUUAGAAACUGUCGGGCUUGAGUAUGGGAGAGGUGAGUGGAAUUUCCGGUGUAGCGGUGAAAUGCGUAGAUAUCGGAAGGAACACCUGUGGCGAAAGCGGCUCACUGGACC